rnacentral:lncRNA from 15 species
CUCCAUUUUGGAUGCCGUCUCUUCACUGUCAGCUACUGUGAUUCUGGUGGACUUCCAGACAAAUCGUGAAUUGAUUGACAGUCCAUUUCAGUCAAUCCAUACCAAAUUUUAUUCAUACAACUGUAUUUUUUGCAUGGCUACAUGGUCCAAUUUUCUCAGUCUCUGUGAAAGCUGUUUGUUAGAGCAAACAUUUUGAAUCUACAACACUCUUUAGAUACCUUUUGUCCACUAUAUGAAAUCUGGCAACCAUAGUCCUUCUAAAAUUAUGUAAAAUGAUGAACCCAGCUCUCACAUCUCCCAUCUGCCUAGAACCCCGACUGACUACAAAGAGCACAUAGGAAUGUGUAUCCUUCUGCUUAAAUGCACAACAGACACCAAACAAAAUGAUGAAUUUUGUGCAAAGGAAUUAUGUCGACUCUACCAGCCUCAAUUGCCAGCAGUCAAUCAUAGUGUAUUUUUUGUUGUAGAAAGUCUGGGUUGAAGCUGUGUAGGAUAGUGACCUUUCAGAUGCUGUUUUCAAGCUGAAACUUUUUUAGCCACAAAGUUUAUUAUCAUUUUUCAGCUUGCCACAACAAACAAUGUAAAAAUCUAAAAUGCCUGGCAAAUCAGUCUGUCUGAACUGGUGCUACAUUUUAAUUUGGCAGCAAUCUCAGUCAGGAUGCAAGAAAAGGAAGAAGAGGGCAAACUGGGAUGGCAGAGACAAGAUUGAUGGACAUGGAACGAGGGCAAACUGACUGGCACUGGAUGGAAAAACCUGGUGAGGUGACACCCUGUGUGCAGUGUGACACUGAGCUGUCACCUCCCACUCCCCGCAUCACACCUCUGCCCCCUGCUGGGCCAACCCCGUCACAGCACCCAGACACCCAGACACCCAGCCAGCCUUCUCCUCCUCCACUGGCAUGAAAACUGGCAGCAGUGAACAUCACUUUCCACUCAUUCACUUCAACUUUUCUAUAUGUAACAAUGUUAUUCUGUUUUUGUUUCCCUUUUAGCCUUUUUAUAUUGACAAUGUAUCUAAAAAGACCUCCUACAGGAAUUUUUCAGAAAGGGGACCUAAUCUGAGGUUGAAAUAUUUUUUUGUUAAUAUAACAAAAGAUCAGAAUGACCCAUCAAUAUGAAGCCAGUUGAAGUCAAGAUGAGCCCUUUUGGCUUGUGACCAUUAAAAGCAAUGUCUACUUGCAACCCUACUCCCAGUUUGGAUAGGUCUAACUUCAACAUGAGAAUGAUUUUCCCCUUCUCACAUUGUUAUAUUUGAAUAUGUGGGGAGAAAAUAAAUGUCACCUUGAAAAAAAAGC